AUUCGAAUUGGCGGAGGCGGAGGUGGUAGUGCGUCGCCGCUCCGCCUCCGCCCUGCUACUAUGCUUUUCAUUGAAUGGUUUGGAUUAUACCAAUUCAAUGCAGAUACUAUCAACGUAACGCCGACAAUAUACAAUUUUUGUCCAAUAAUUUAUCUUUUGUAGAGAUGUGAUUGCUGCAAUCAAAGGUUUAAGCUAGACUGCGAGAGAUUCAGGCUCCGAUGUUUUGUAGGUGUAGCGGUGUGCCCAAAACAGAUAGUGCAAGAAGUUGAGGCCACUUAGUAUGCACAUGAACCAGUAGAAUCUUUCCAAAUGAUAAUGGUUCAAAUUGCUGCCAUAGAGCCACGGUUUAUGAUGGAAUGCGCCUGUGAUGCAGUUGAUCACAUUUACUAGCACUGAACUGAGAUAAUAACCCAUUGCUAGUGAGGCCCAUGAUAGGGAGGUUGCUAGUGACCUCAUGCUGAAUGGUGCCUCGGUGAAGAAGAAAUCCAUCAUGCCAGCCAAGCUGAAAAGAUCGGCUGAACCAAGGAAGAGGUAUUGCAAGGCCACCCAAAGGAAUGUGAUUGGUAGAGGCUCCUUUGAAUUCAUUAGGCCUGUUUGUAUAGCGACAUGCUUCCUCUUCACCUCCACCAUUGCUGCCACGGCCAUGGCCAGGAUUGAGAGGACUAGGCCGGUCCCAAUCCGUUGCAGAUGUGUGAUUCCCAUCUCAGUGUUGGUCAGCUUUCUGGCGAAGGGGACUAUGAUGUGGUCGUAGAGUGGCGCGAGUAUCAUUAUGAAGAGGACAGGAAAUACUGGCAGAGAAGCUGGUGGGAUUUUUAAAGAUCCGAUUUUGGUGUUCAUGGUGGCUGCUUGUUGGACUGAGAAAGUGGAUAGCUGGGCGAGGCAGCAGUUGAGCAUGAUUGUUGACAUGAAUAUUGGAAGGGUCUUAAGGACUGAUUUCACGUCUUCUAUUUGCUUUGUGGUGCAGUGAAGCCUUGGCUGGGCUGGUGCGGCAUCUAAUGCUCUGUUAAGGAACCUGAGAUCUUCUGUGAUGGUUUGGCUUUCGGCCUUUCCUGUAGCGUGUUCUUCAUCCUCUGUCGAACUUGAUGGUGUUCUGCUCACAUUCUCGAUAGCAUUCUUGGUUUUCCUUGAAAUCCAGAACUUGUAUGUUGCAGCUAUCAAAACCUGUCCAGAAAAUUCAAACAGUUACUGACUGCUAGCCUUUGGUGAUUCUUGAAAUUGGUUUGUACUAUUACCUUAAGUAUGGUUGUGAUGGGACUUCCUGUGGGAAUCUUUAUCCUAUAUCUAGUUGAUCCAAGGAGGAAGAUUGGUAUAGAGAUCAAUAUGGCUGCAGUUGCAAUUCCAAAACCCCACUGCCAGCCUUUGUUGUCUUCAAUCCACACCACAAACGUGACUGCAAUCAACGCUCCACAGGCGAGGCAGAAUACGUAGUAAUUGAAGAAUGAUGAUCUCUGUUUCCUUCCUUCUGUAGUGUGCUCGUCAAAUUGCUCGGCUCCAUGAGGAGGAAGUGAGCCUUUAAUCCCACCAACACCUAGUGCAACCAAGUAGAGGCCUGUAAAUAGAAGUACAGCCUUACCCUGGUCAACUUCCUGGCACGUGACGUUUCUGUUGAUGGACUUGCACAUGGGUGGUUUCAGCGACGGAAUAUGAGCUUGCACUGGUAAAAGGUUUCUGCUUUACAGGAUUCUGUUGGUUUUGUCCUUGUCUACAAAACUGGAGUUUUGAAUGAUCACGUGCAGCUAACUAUGAAGAAACUGAGGACGAGGUUUCGUGUCGAAUUUCCUACGUUGAACAAUGAUGCACCGGCCACGGGGGGUUGUUCCGUUCGUGCUCGUGCUGGUCCAGGGGCAGGGCGUGCCACCCCCACUAAGGCUUGCUGGUCUCACUGUGGAGUGGAGGACCCAUCCAUCAAUACAUGACAAGGUAAAGACUAGUGCUGUUUCAAUUCCAAAUUUCUGCUUUUUCAUAAUCAUGCUUUCCUUUUAGGACACUCUCCAUCUCUUUUACUUACUACAGUGAUUUCUACUUCGUGGAAAUGUGAAAAUUUGUGGGAUUAUAUUUUACA